rnacentral:ncRNA from 1 species
GGGUGUGACGGGUAACCCGGUCGGCAGGAUUCAGGGAUGGUCGGGCCGCCAUCU